rnacentral:rRNA from 1 species
UAGGGAAUUUUCGACAAUGGGGGGAACCCUGAACGAGCAAUGCCGCGUGAGUGAAGACGGUCUUCGGAUUGUAAAGCUCUGUUGCGAGAGAAAAAGGACAGGCAGAGGGAAUGCUGCAUGUUUGAUGGUAUCUCGCCAGAAAGUCACGGCUAACUACGUGCCAGCAGCCGCGGUAAUACGUAGGUGGCGAGCGUUAUCCGGAAUGAUUGGGCGUAAAGGGUACGUAGGCGGCCAGAUAAGUCUGGUGUGAAAGGCUGCAGCUCAACUGCAGCACUGCACUGGAAACUGUCCGGCUGGAGUGCAGAAGAGGGCGAUGGAACCCCAUGUGUAGCGGUAAAAUGCGUAGAUAUAUGGAAGAACACCGGUGGCGAAGGCGGUCGCCUGGUCUGCAACUGACGCUGAAGUACGAAAGCGUGGGGAGCAAAUAG